CAAUCUUUGGUGCUGAUGAUUGGGUGCAUUGCUGAGCUGCUCCUUUUGUGAUCCUUUGCUGCUUUGAGCUGCAGUAAAUGACACUGAUUCCUUCAGUUGGAGUCUGUGUCUUUGGUGCUGAUCCUGCCCACUGGUAAAACAAACCUGGCACAGUCGGGCCAGAUGACAAGAAAAUGUCAUUUUUAAAUGUAAAUGUGAGGAAUCGGUCCCAUCAGAAAUUCCCAGAUGGGAAGCCCUUCCCUGGAGUUGGCUGGCUCUGGAGUGGGCUGAGGUCAGAGCAGAUGUGAGCAGUGGGGCAGUCAGUUAAAAGAAGCUGAACCCCUGGAUGUCUUAAAAUGCAUCCAAAAAUUACAUAUGGAAUAAGAAAAAAAACUUGUGUUUUUGGAAGACAAGGGUGAAUUUUGUUAAUGACACAUUGGAAACAGCACCAACUGAAGGAAAAACUAUUGUUGGAACACUGCCACAUGGAGUGACAGAAGAAGGUUUCAAUCCUGAGCUCAGGUUUGUUUGUGCAAGUGAUAUAAUAAUAAUAAUAUAUAAUAUAACACAAUAAUCUAUAUCUGUAUUAUUAAAAAUUGCUAAUGUGAAAUAAGGCUGACAAUAAUUUGUUAGCUUUGGCUGCUCACUGUAACACUAAAUACCCUAGAGAAAAGGACUGGCCAAGACCCAAAUGUCAGUGGUAAACUUUGUGAAUUGUGUGUAAUGAAUAAAGGAGGAAAGUAUGAAAUUGGCAUUUUUUAUAGGAUUUGUUUAUACUGUGAUGCGGAAUGCUUUGUCUGUUACUGUAAAAAAUUCAGUGAUUAAGACUGCUGGGUUUUUCAUAUCCCAGACAAUCCACAAGCUGCAGGAUUGGUUGAAUGGGUGAAGGUUUGUUAAAAGAGCAGUUGACAUAAUGAGGAGAUGGGAACCUGUCCCCAUGGAGACCCCAUCUCCCAGAUGUACUCCAUACCCUUAACAAUGGCCCACUGGGGAAAUGGAAACCCCUGGCUGUGCACGGCUGCCCCCAAUUUACAUUAACAAACUAAGUUGAUUAUUAGAAGAAGUAAAAAAUGAUGCUAUGAAAAUAUCCAAUAGUACAUCCUGUGAGCUCCAACAAACACGAAUGGGGCUCUGCAGAACCACACAGCCUUGGAUGAUCUGCUUGCUGGCCAGGGAGGAACCUGGGCUAUUCUAGGACAGGAAUGUUGCAGGGAUGUCUAUCAGUGCUGGGUUUGAGGUCCAACAAUCAGCAAUCUCCUUGAUAGAAAGAUCAGGAGAAGAGUGGCAGAAAGAAGAAAAUUCUUCCUGGUGGGAUUGGCUCCCAAAUUGGAAGCUGCUGUGAAAUGCAUUUGUGGCAGUCACUGUGAUCAUUGCAGUGUGAGCACUUGGUGUGUUAUGAAUCCAUGUUAGAGUUGUUGUGACACCUUGUGCUGGAAAUGGAGUACUGAGACUUGUCUAAAAACAGACAUAGUCUCAAGAAAAAAGGGGCAUUUGAUAAAGAACAGAGAAGAGCAGCUAAUUAGGGCUCUUUUAAAGGAAUGCAAAUUAUAGCUCUGAGUAAUGAACUUGAACAGCACUUAGUUGAAGAACAAGAGCUGAUGCCUUUAUGCCUAAUACCUAAAUCUAAGGUUCUAUUAUUGAAAAAAUUGUUUUGAAGGUUGCAGUUCAUCUGUAGGUCGAAGCACUGAUUGAACCCCUGAGGCCUCAUCAGGCCCUGACUGUGGCCUGAACAGCAGGCCCUGAGCCAAAGCUGAGCUCUAGAUAAACCUUCCAACCAGAUGUUAUCUUUGUAUCUGCUCAUUAAUGAAUCAUUAUUAGCAAUAUGAUCUCUGUAUGUGUUCACUGCUGAAAUAUGGAUUUACCUUUCUGUGUUUGGAAACCAGCAAGGCCCCAUCUGGCUUUGUUUGGGGCUGUGGGAUCAAAGUCACCUCCCUUGGUUCCUCCUUGAGCCCUGGCCAGGCUUUGGAAGAAGCCAAACAGGAGAAUUAAACCAGUUAUUCCCACACUAGCAGUGAUGUCAGCUUGUUUGUUUAACACUGUAAAAGCUGUGGCCUCUCACAGCGAGGUUGGAGCCUCACUGGCUGCAAAGGUGGAGGCACCUGCAGGAAUUCCCAGUGUCCAGGAGUGGCUCUCCAGUCCAUGGUUGUGAAAGGGUUAAAAGCACUGUGCCUAGGAAUACUUGAGCAAGAAUAAGAGACAUUGCACCCAACAAGGAAGCUUGCAAAAAUUCAGCCACAAGCUAAAGACACAGGAUGAAACUUGGCAAGAAAUAGGGAACAAAACUGGCAGAAAUGAAGGGCAGAGCUUGCUAAAACCAGUGAGGAAAUUGCUGAAACAGCCAACAAGAGACUGUGCAUGCCUAGAGGAGAAAGGUGAAAAGGGCACGGUGAUGAAGAUGUCCAUCCUUCAUCAGGAGACCCCUGAGGAAGACGCAGAGCCUUCCUCAGUGCCACCACCAGUGUGCACUGCACCUGUGCCUCGUGUAUGCUAAUGAUUGUAAUGAGUACUGAGAAAUCGUUUGCAUAACCUCACCUUUUCUGAGGAGAAACAUGAAUAUGCAUAGAGUAUAACCAUAUAUUGUAAUCUGCUGUGUGCCUGCGUGCGCUGUCAGGAGGAGAUAUCCCUGCAGACCCGGUGUGCUGAAUAAAGCAAAUCCCCUCCUUGGGCUUUGUCUGGGAAGUGUCUCUUGGCCUGGUUUGGGGCCAUUCACGUCCAUGGGGUUCUAUCAAGUCACAGUGGAACCUUGGUGCCCUGUUGUUGCACAGCCUCACAAUUCUCUCCUGCUGCCAUGAGGUCCCUCCCUCGGUGACACACUGCAGCCCUGGUUCCAUGAGGGGCUCUUGGGUUCCAUGGUGCACGCCUUUGUCACAUCUGAGCCUUGCUUCCAUGGGUUCCAUGGACUGACAGUGGCCCUCUGCAUUCCAUGGGGCCCAGCUAGAUCACAGCAGAGCCUGGCUUUCAUCAGGUUCUGAUACCUGUUCUGCCAGCUGACUGGGGUGAUUUAAAGAACACAGAAACCAAUGGGAAGAAUGGUCUUAUUUACUGGGAGUGUUAAGGCAACACAAAAGUUAAAUUAUGCAUUCAAUAAAACUACAUGCUUGGAUUUAGCAACAAGCAAAAAGAAGCAAGAGUCUGCAGUUGCUGAAAGGUCCCAUUUCACAGCAAGGACCUGGAGAACUCUUCCAAGAGAUUGGGAAAAUCCCAUGUGGUGCAUCCACCCAUAGGUAACUACACAAGAUUAUGUGGAAGUCUCCACAGCAGCUGGUUUGGUUUUAAACAGCAGCAGAAUCAUAUGGGUCAUCUCUUUUUAGCUCAAUAAAACUGAUGGU